UACAGGGGGUGCAAACGUUGCUCGGAAUUAUUGGGCGUAAAGCGCACGUAGGCGGUUUGUUAUGUCGGAUGUGAAAGCCCUUGGCUCAACUGAGGAAGUGCAUCCGAAACUGGCAAGCUAGAGUAUGUAAGAGGGUCGCGGAAUUCCCGGUGUAGAGGUGAAAUUCGUAGAUAUCGGGAGGAACACCAGUGGCGAAGGCGGCUCACUGGCCCGGUACUGACGCUGAGGUGCGAAAGCGUGGGGAGCAAACAGG
rnacentral:rRNA from 1 species